rnacentral:rRNA from 1 species
UAGGGGAUCUUCCACAAUGGACGCAAGUCUGAUGGAGCAACGCCGCGUGAGUGAAGAAGGUUUUCGGAUCGUAAAGCUCUGUUGUUGGUGAAGAAGGAUAGAGGUAGUAACUGGCCUUUAUUUGACGGUAAUCAACCAGAAAGUCACGGCUAACUACGUGCCAGCAGCCGCGGUAAUACGUAGGUGGCAAGCGUUGUCCGGAUUUAUUGGGCGUAAAGCGAGCGCAGGCGGAAGAAUAAGUCUGAUGUGAAAGCCCUCGGCUUAACCGAGGAACUGCAUCGGAAACUGUUUUUCUUGAGUGCAGAAGAGGAGAGUGGAAUUCCAUGUGUAGCGGUGGAAUGCGUAGAUAUAUGGAAGAACACCAGUGGCGAAGGCGACUCUCUGGUCUGCAACUGACGCUGAGGCUCGAAAGCAUGGGUAGCGAACAGG